AGAGUUUGAUCCUGGCUCAGGAUGAACGCUAGCGAUAGGCUUAACACAUGCAAGUCGAGGGGUAACAGAGUAGCAAUACUGCUGACGACCGGCGAAUGGGUGAGUAACGCGUAUGUAAUCUACCCAUAACUUGGGGAUAGCCCUGAAGAAAUUCGGAUUAAUACCCAAUAGUACAAAAGUUCUGCAUGGUUCUUUUGUUAAAGAUUAAUUGGUUGUGGAUGAGCAUGCGUUCCAUUAGGUAGUUGGUUGAGGUAAAAGCUCACCAAGCCAACGAUGGAUAGGGGGGCUGAGAGGUUGAUCCCCCACACUGGAACUGAGACACGGACCAGACUCCUACGGGAGGCAGCAGUGAGGAAUAUUGGUCAAUGGGCGGGAGCCUGAACCAGCCAAGUCGCGUGAAGGAAGACGGUAUUAUGUAUUGUAAACUUCUUUGGAGAGGGAAUAAAAGGGGGGAUGUAUCCCCCGUUGCAGGUACCUUUCGAACAAGCAUCGGCUAACUCCGUGCCAGCAGCCGCGGUAAUACGGAGGAUGCGAGCGUUAUCCGGAUUUAUUGGGUUUAAAGGGUGCGCAGGUGGUAUUGUAAGUCAGCGGUGAAAUCUCGGCGCUCAACGCGGAAACUGCCGUUGAAACUGCAAAACUUGAGGAUGGACGAGGCAUGCGGAAUUCGUAGUGUAGCGGUGAAAUGCAUAGAUAUUACGAAGAACCCCGAUAGCGCAGGCAGCAUGCCAGACCAUACCUGACACUGAGGCACGAAAGUGUGGGUAUCAAACAGGAUUAGAUACCCUGGUAGUCCACACAGUAAACGAUGAAUACUGACUGUUUGCGAUAGACUGCAAGCGGUUAAGCGAAAGCGUUAAGUAUUCCACCUGGGGAGUACGCCGGCAACGGUGAAACUCAAAGGAAUUGACGGGGGCCCGCACAAGCGGAGGAACAUGUGGUUUAAUUCGAUGAUACGCGAGGAACCUUACCCGGGCUCGAACGGUGUUCGUAUGGGAGUGAAAGCUUCCAGCCAGCAAUGGCGGACAUCGAGGUGCUGCAUGGUUGUCGUCAGCUCGUGCCGUGAGGUGUCGGCUUAAGUGCCAUAACGAGCGCAACCCCUUUUUCCAGUUGCCAUCGGGUCAAGCCGGGGACUCUGGAAAGACUGCCACCGCAAGGUGCGAGGAAGGUGGGGAUGACGUCAAAUCAGCACGGCCCUUACGUCCGGGGCGACACACGUGUUACAAUGGGAGGGACAGAGGGCUGCUACCCGGCAACGGGAUGCCAAUCUCGAAACCCUCUCCCAGUUCGGAUUGGAGUCUGCAACCCGACUCCAUGAAGCUGGAUUCGCUAGUAAUCGCGCAUCAGCCAUGGCGCGGUGAAUACGUUCCCGGGCCUUGUACACACCGCCCGUCAAGCCAUGGGAGCCGGGGGUACCUGAAGUACGUAACCGCAAGGGACGUCCAAGGGUAAAACGGGUGACUGGGGCUAAGUCGUAACAAGGUAGCCGUACCGGAAGGUGCGGCUG
rnacentral:rRNA from 1 species